rnacentral:rRNA from 1 species
GUAGUCUCGCACAGAUGCAUAUCAAUAAGCGGAGGAAAAGAAACUAACAAGGAUUCCCCUAGUAACGGCGAGUGAAGCGGGAAGAGCUCAAAUUUGAAAUCUUAAAGGGUUUCCCUUUACGAAUUGUAGUUUAAAGAAGUGUUUUCUGUAGAGGUUUUGGUAAAAGUUCUUUGGAAUAGGACAUCAUAGAGGGUGAGAAUCCCGUAUUUGACCUUUACUUUCAACUUUGUGAUACACUUUCAAAGAGUCGGAUUGUUUGGGAAUGCAGUCCAAAAUGGGUGGUAAAUUUCAUCUAAAGCUAAAUAUUGGCGAGAGACCGAUAGCGAACAAGUACCGUGAGGGAAAGAUGAAAAGAACUUUGAAAAGAGAGUUAAACAGUACGUGAAAUUGUCAAAAGGGAAGCGUUUGACACCAGUGUUGUUUUUCUGAAAAUCAAUUAAAGAACUGUUUAUGCUAAGCUGUUUAGACUUUAUCAGCUAUCUGUUUAGUUUUGAGCUUUUCUUUAAUGCACUCUUCAGUUAACAAGUCAACAUCAAUUUCUUUUGCUGUAAAAAAGCUUGAGGAAGGUGGCUUGAGAUUCGUCUUAAGUGUUUAUAGCCUCUUGCCUAUGCAGUCGGAGAGAUUGAGGUCUGCGGCGUAGAUCCUUCGGGGCUAAAUGCAUUUGUGCUAAGUUAUAGCAUUUUAUAGACAACUUGUUGACUAUGAUUUGUCUUGUAGCUUACUCGCUUAUGUUAUUUUACCUACGCUUAGGAUGUUGACAGCAGUAUAGACUGUAGUCUCGCACAGAUGCAUAUCAAUAAGCGGAGGAAAAGUCAACUACCUACGCUUAGGAUGUUGACAGCAGUAUAGACUGU